GAUUGCUCUGCAAGCAGCACCAGCCACUGGCGCUUCAUUUUGAGGGGUGGUGUGCCUCUCCCUCUGAGCCCAGCCAGCAGUGGAGGAAAUGAAGAGGCUCUCAAGGGAGGGGCAAGGGAAAGAGGCCAGGGUAGGGUGGAGGAGAGCAGUGAGAGCAGCUGCCUCUUCAACAUGGAAGGCUCCUCCCGCUGCUGCUGUUCGCCCAGGAGACAGGUGCCCAUGGAGGAAUGAAAGGCAGGGAAGAGAAGGAAGGUGCCAGUUCCCUGGGGUCCUGUGUCUGCCAGCUACUGUUAAGUGCCUCUGAGAAACUCUGCUUUCAGCUAACGGGGACCACCUAUCCUGGGAACCUCAGUACAUGGGACCAGAACCUCCUGGGUGGACUCUUUGGCAAGAUGAAUUGGACCAAUGAGACCACCACCACCAUGAAGCCAGGGGCUGACCCUAAAGGACUCAGUGGGUAGGUAAGGGAAGAGCUGACCACGGAGGAGGAGUAUUGGGGAUCUUGGAGGAGGGUCUGUUUGGCCUGGAGGCAGGGACUGGUAUGGGAGGGACCAUGGCCGUGGAGACUGGGGCAGAGGAGAGAGUCUCAAAAUGGAGACAGAGAGGGUUUGUUGGCUGCUGGGCAUGUGGAAGCCCAGAGAUGAGGGAGCUCCGACAGAGGGCGGGCAGGGCAAUUUUGUGGAUGGUCACCACAGCCAGCUGGGGCAGUGGAAGCAUCCUCGUUCUCUGUUUGCUUCCCUCAGCUUAGGACCAACAGCCACCGUUCUUUCUGGCUCCAUCGGUGUCAUAGCCCUCAUCUUGCUCCUGAUGGGGCUCAUGUCCAUGCCACUGAAGAAAUGGAGGCACGAGAGACUAUUUAAGAAACAACUGAAGCAUCAGAUGAACUAUCUCCACAAAUCUUCGGAGUUUUCCUGCCAUGCCGAUGCCAUAUAUUCCAACGUGAUCAACCUGGCCCCCAGGAAGGAGGAGGACUUCGCUGUCUAUGCCAACGUGCCCCCUUUCAAUCGCCCCAGAAGGACAUCCCCAGACCAAGUGGAAUAUGCCUCCAUUGUGUUCCACUGAUGGGAAGCCAGCGAGAUGCUUCAGGCUUUGCAGGACAACACACCAAGUGUCAGGGGAGAAGGAGGCGUGGAGGAGCUGCAGCUACUUGUGAAGUGCUUCUUCCUGGGGGCGUGAAACUUGGCGGAGCUCCCGCAGAGAGUGGAGGGGAAGCAGCGCCUGGUGGAAGUGGAUACAUGUCACCACUGACCAGGGUCUGCUCCGUGUGAAUUGGAAGAGCUCUGGAACUUUGCAAAUGACUCACUCCCUCUUUCCUCCAUUUGAAAACCUU
rnacentral:lncRNA from 1 species